GAAAUAAAAAUCCAUAACUGCAUUUAUUGAGUGCUUUAGGUCAGACGUGAGCAGAAGGUAGAUUGGGGUGGCAGAUCUCUGCGUGAUUUGCAGUCGAUUGUUCCUCCUAACAUAUGCAUUUUGGCAAACACUGGUUAGCUGGAGAACUGCACUGCAAAAUUUGGGGGGAAAAUGUACAAGCUGAUGUGGAAAUGUGGAGAAUUGGAAAAUGGAGAAACUGAAAUUGACAGAUUCACCCAUCCCUACUCUGAAGGGCAGUGAGAAUCUUUACUGCAUCAGUGUUCCAACUGCUCAGGCUAGAAGUCUUCCUGCUCUGCUGGCUGAGCGCGCAAGCA